GUCCACGCCCUAAACGAUGUCAACUAGGUGUUGGGGAAGGAGACUUCUUUAGUACCGCAGCUAACGCGUGAAGUUGACCGCCUGGGGAGUACGGUCGCAAGAUUAAAACUCAAAGGAAUUGACGGGGACCCGCACAAGCGGUGGAUUAUGUGGAUUAAUUCGAUGCAACGCGAAAAACCUUACCUACCCUUGACAUGUCAGAAAGUUUCCAGAGAUGGAUUCGUGCCCGAAAGGGAAUCUGAACACAGGUGCUGCAUGGCUGUCGU
rnacentral:rRNA from 1 species